GUGCCGGUUCUACAGUGGCUAUCCCCAUUGUGGAAGGCACCGAUGCCCUUGAAGAUUAAGAUCUUCGUAUGGCAGCUUCUACGAGAUCGUCUUCCUUCGGGGACCGACAUGCUGAAACGCCAUGGUCCGGGCAAUGGCCUUUGCUUGUGCCAUGCCCCGGAAAUGGGAACGCACAUUUUGUUUUCUUGCGUAGCAGCGCAGGCACUUUCGUGCUUUGUUUGUGAGGCUCUAGGACCAGAGUGGGAGGCCCAUGACCUUGCAGAGUUUCUGCAGGUAAGGGCCACCCAGGUUGGCCCUAAGCGCCGAUUAUUCUGGCUCAUCUUCACGGCUAUGAUGUGGACUCUUUGGACUACUCACAACAAGAUGGUGAUUGAGCGGGUGUUCCCGCGUCGUGCUUCUGACUCGUUCUUCAAAUUUUUUGCCUUCUUGCAGUACUGGCAUCCGCUCGCUAGGCCGAGGGAUCGUGACCGUCUUCAGCUCUUGCUGGACGCUCUGGUGUCUACCGCGUGUCGGCUCUCCUACCGCCCGCCUGCUUCAUAG
rnacentral:rRNA from 1 species